rnacentral:lncRNA from 1 species
CGCGUGCGUGUGAUGUAAUUUCGUCAUCAGCAGCGGACAUCUUGGGACUUGUCGCGACAUUUAGCAGUCUUCAAUUUUCGCGCUCAACUCCUGCACGCUACGAUAUAGAAGUUGGCAACACUGCGGUUACUAGAGAAGAGGACAUCAAAAGGGUAUAUCCAAACAGUGAGGUGCAUGCUGUUCUGUCAAAGUAUCAAGAGGGAAAGUCUCUGGUCCUGUGCAUCCUGCAACUCUUAAUGGCCCAUUUUAAAGAGAGAACAGAAUCCCUUCUAUUUGAAGCUGAUUUAAGUAAUAUAAUUUAGAUUUUAGAGUUUAACUGGUAAUGCAAAAUAUUUUUAUUUAUUUUUUAGGUAGCAGCAACUGCAACCGACAUGGAAAAAAAUGGAUUACCGGAUUCACCCGCACUGAUCUUUCAAGAUGAAUCCAUGACCCCUAGCAAGUGGAUGUUGUCAGUCGAAAGGGAAGUUGUCUUUGGCCCAUGUUCAGAGGCAUUUGUUGAGGGCCUGGCAGCAUUGUUUGCGACCUAUUACAACUUAAACCUUGCUUAUCAGGAUGAAGCUGCAUGCACCCUAGAAUUUAUUCAGAGGUAUGUCAGAACAAACUCUUACUGAAUAUUUAUUGUAGACAUCCAAAUUUCCAUUACUUUUUUUAGGUUUACAGGUUUGGAUGGCUUAUCAGGAUUAGAUGUUUUUUGGAAAAGUUUUCAAACCGCAAAAAAAUGCUUACUGCACACUGAAUUGAGUACAUACAACCAAAGUCCAGCAAAAAUAUUUUAUAAAAAAAUCUAUUACAAAAUAUGCAAACAAAUAUAAAACUAUACAAAUAAUGCAGAACCAUAAAAAAAAAUUAUUAGAAAAAAUAACAAAAAUAACAGGGGAAAAAAGGGCA